CAGCGCCCCAGUCGCCACUCCUGCCCCCUUAGUCCCGUCCGGCCUCCGCGCGUGGCUCCUGCAUCCUCGGCUCAACCCCGGUAGACCUCCGCGGCCCACAGCCUCCCGCCCGGCCGCCGCCAACAGUUAAAAACUGUUACCAGAAAGGGGUCUCAAUGCAGACUCCAGGAGGGAGUUCUCAGAUCUCAUGCAGGAAUUCAAGAAAAACUAGAAAAGACCAAGAUACUGCCACAGAUCGGAAGAGACUAAGGAGCUAAGGACAACCAAUAUGCAGCAGAGGACCCUGGACUGGACUGCAAAACAGGAAAAGAACUUUUUUAAAAAAAUGGUGAAGUCCAAAUAAAGUCUGGGGUUUUGUCCAAAAUAAUGUACCAAUGUUGGUUUCUUAAUUUUUGAUAAAUAUGCUACUGUGAUAUAGGAUGAUGGCAUUAAGAGAAACUGAAACUGGA